rnacentral:lncRNA from 1 species
GAGAAGAAGAAUAUAACAAUUAACAAAGAAAUAAAAGGUUAAAGAAAAUUACCUUGAUUGAUUGUUUGGUCUUGGUAUGGAGAAGAAAAAAGAUAGAUACUCAAAAGUGUAAAAGAGAUGAAAACGACGACUUUGUCGUAGUUUUUUCAGUUUCCUUUUUUUUACUAGGGUUUUCAGUUAAUGAAAUAAAACAUAAACAUUUAAUUUUUUUCUUUUUUAUUUUUAUUUAUGAUUCUAAUAUCAAACUUAAACGCUUUCAAAUAGGACUCAUCGUUUCCAUCAUGCUUUCAUAUCUGUUUUGUUUUUAACCGCAAUUUCCAGCACGCUUCCGCAUCUCUUUGACAUGUUUUUUUUUUUGUAACAUGGCUUUAAUCUCUUUGACAUGUUUACACCUAUAUAUUAACUGUUUUGUUUUUGGUGGAGAUCAGACUCAUAACUAACGAAACAAUUCAUGGGGUAAAAAUUUUCCAGUUAUCAUUAUAAUUUCCAUCUAUUAAUUACCAUCAUCUGUCUUAUUUUAUAGACCGUUUCUGGUUGUACUAUAAAUAAUUAGUAAGCCUUUAUUUAGGGUAAAAAUAAAAAUUAACUGUUGAACUGAGAGUUUCUUCAGGCCUUCUGAUCAAAUUGUUCCCUGUGGUAAUAAAGCUACCAUAUUUACUUGGAGUUUAUCUUUUGUCGUCAUUCGGAAAUAUAUUUAUUUAUACAAACAUUAUUUUUAGUCAGAGUAAUUCUCCUUCGGU